AAUAAGUAAAUGAUGAUUAAAAAAAAAAAAAAAUCCAUAAUCUAGUACAUAAUUAGCAAAAUACAUAUCUACCGUUAAAGAAAAAUAAUACUUAGAAUAAAAAAUCUUUGGCAACCUUAUCUUUGUUUAGAAUGAGCAACAGAUGUCCCAAACACAUGCUCUACUUUUAGUUAAGAUAGAGGAAUGGGGAAGGGGAAGGGGAAGGGAAAGGGGAAGUGGAAGGGAAUGAAUCUUUUUUAAACAAAUUAUCUUUAUAUGUGCAUAUAUAAUUAUAUGCAUGUAUAAAUGUUAGUACUCUUACUACUAGCAUAGUAUUCAAUGCUAAGCUCCUCACUUUUUAAGGCAUCAAAGCAACUGUGACACUUCAUUGUUACCCUGGAUCCCCAUUGAACGGCCUCUCCCUGCAAAUUACCUUUAUCUAGGGACCUCUGUGUGGUUUCUUUGCUCCCUCUGUGUUUCAUCUCUUUAUUGCUGCAGAAAUCUCACCACCAAUAUGUUACUGUUGAAUUUCAAUCAACAUCUUUUUCGUCUUACUUUGCAGAAUUUUGGCAUCCCAGAGAUUCAGUCAGCCCUACCUUGCAAGGAAAAAAAAAAAUGUUUUUUCCACAGCAGCAAUGACAAUUUUUGUCUAUCUUCUGAGCAGUUUUUAUCCCAGUCUUUACUUACUUACUGUUUUUCUCUUAGCCACUAUCUUCUUAAGCAGUGGCUUAGAAGAUCCUGUAUGACAAAUAUCCUCCAGUUCCUCCCCUUUCCAAUAUGAUGUUAUCAAAAAGAUUGACAGGCAGCUUUUAUUUCUUAUGUAUUGAAAUGGACCACAUUUGUUAUUCUUAAUCACAUUUUGCUGUUUUGUUGAUGGCAGAGGUGGGGGAGGGAGAUUUUCUCCUCACAGAAAUAAGAAUGUUUUUACUUUUCAUUUAUGCACUUUUCAGCAUUUGAAAAAUGUAACAAAUUUGCUAUGUUUAUUCAUCUUCUGGUGUUCUUUAGUUUACCUAGCACUGUGGUACAGUAUGCUUUUGAGGUCUGACUCACUAGGCAACUAUUCAUUCUGGGGCUGAUUACGUAUUCUGAAAAUGUUGUAUUUGUUCAUUAUGUUGUCCUGUAAAUUCAAAAAUAUUAAUAAACCUCCUACACACAUUAGCA
rnacentral:lncRNA from 1 species